rnacentral:rRNA from 1 species
UGGGGAAUAUUGCUCAAUGGGCGAAAGCCUGAAGCAGCGACGCCGCGUGGAGGAUGAAGGCCUUCGGGUUGUAAACUUCUGUUAAGUGGGAAAAAAGACUUCCUGUUAAUAUCGGGAAGGGAUGAUGGUACCACUAGAGAAAGCACUGGCUAAUCUCGUGCCAGCAGCCGCGGUAAUACGAGAGGUGCAAGCGUUAUUCGGAAUCAUUGGGCGUAAAGGGUGCGUAGACGGCAAUUUAAGUCUGUUGUUAAAGAUCCUAGCUUAACUGGGAAAAUGCAAUGGAUACUGUUUUGCUAGAGGGUGAGAGAGAGAAGUGGAAUUCCCGGAGUAGCGGUCAAAUGCGUAGAUCUCGGGAGGAACACCGAUGGCGAAGGCAGCUUCUUGGCUCAUUUCUGACGUUGAGGCACGAAAGCGUGGGGAGCAAACAGG